AGCAGCCGCGGUAAUUCCAGCUCCAAUAGCGUAUAUUAAAGUUGUUGCAGUUAAAAAGCUCGUAGUUGAAUUUCGGGAUCAGUAUGUUGGUCGUGCUUCGGUACGUACUGUCAUUACUGGUUUCUACCUUCUGAAGAACCUUGAUGUCAUUAAUUUGGUGUCUUGGGAAAUCAGGACUGUUACUUUGAAAAAAAUUAGAGUGUUUAAAGCAAGCUCGCGCUUGAAUACAUUAGCAUGGAAUAAUGAAAUAGGACGUUUGAUUCUAUUUUGUUGGUUUCUAGGAUCGACGUAAUGAUUAAUAGGGAUAAGUUGGGGGCAUUAGUAUUCAAUUGUCAGAGGUGAAAUUCUUGGAUUUAUUGAAGACUAACUACUGCGAAAGCAUUUGCCAAGGAUGGUUUUCAUUAAUCAAGAACGAAAGUUAGGGGAUCGAAGACGAUCAGAUACCGUCGUAGUCGUUAACCAUAAACUAAUGUCCGACUAGGGAUCGGAUGAUGUUAAGUUUUUAAUGUACUCAUUCGGC
rnacentral:rRNA from 1 species